rnacentral:rRNA from 1 species
AUGUCCUCACAAGUCGUGCAGUACUGGCCACUGAUCUUGAUGCACCUCCUGCUGUCAUCCAGCAGCGGGGCGACGGCCGGGAAGGUCCCCGCGAUCAUCGUGUUCGGGGACUCCACGGUGGAUCCCGGCAACAACGACUACAUCCCCACCGUCGCUAAGGGCAACUUCCCGCCGUACGGGCGCGACUUCGAAGGCGGCGUCGCCACCGGCCGGUUCACCAACGGUCGCCUCGUCACCGACUUCAUGUCGGAGGCGCUCGGCUUGGGGACCUCCGUGCCGGCCUACCUCGACGGCAGCUACACCGUCGACCAGCUCGCUAGCGGCGUGAGCUUCGCUUCAGGUGGCACCGGGCUGGACGCUAUGACGGCAAAACUCGCAUCAGUGAUAUCAAUAAGUCAGCAGCUGGAAUACUUCAAGGAAUACAAGGAGAGGCUGAAGCAGGCCAAGGGCCAGGCCGUGGCCGACGAGAUCAUCGCCGAGGCGCUGUACAUCUUCAGCAUCGGCACAAACGAUUUCUUCGUGAACUACUACGUCAUGCCUCUCCGGGCCGCCAAGUACACGCCGACGGAGUACGCCACCUACCUGGUCGGCCUGGCCGAAGACGCCGUCCGCCACGCCUACGAGCUCGGCGCGCGCAAGGUCAUGCUCAGCGGCAUCCCGCCGUUCGGGUGCGUGCCGGCGGCGAGGACGAUGAACCGGGAUGCGCCGGGGGAGUGCAACGAGGAGUACAACCGGGUGGCGCAGAGCUACAACGCCGGGGUCCGGGACGCCGUGGUGAGGCUCGGCGCCGAGCUCGCCGGCGCGCGGGUGGUGUACCUGGACGUGUACGACGUGCCGUCCGCCAUCUUCGCCGACCCGUCGGAGUACGGCUUCGAGAACGUCGCGCGAGGCUGCUGCGGCACGGGGCUCAUCGAGACGACCGUCCUUUGCGGCAUGGACGAGGCUUUCACGUGUCAGGAUGCUGACAAGUACGUCUUCUUCGAUUCGGUCCAUCCUUCCCAGAGGACAUACAAGCUUUUAGCGGACGAAAUUAUCAAAACUGCACUGCAAGAAUUCCUAGUAUGA